GUAUUAAUGAUGAUUCCCAUUAACAAUUUUAGAAAAUCUGAACAAAAUAAUUUAAUACUCAUUUAUACUAUACUUCGCCUUGAUACUGAGGCCU